GGGACACGUGGUAUCCUGUCUGAAUAUGGGGGGACCAUCCUCCAAGGCUAAAUACUCCUGACUGACCGAUAGUGAACCAGUACCGUGAGGGAAAGGCGAAAAGAACCCCGGCGAGGGGAGUGAAAAAGAACCUGAAACCGUGUACGUACAAGCAGUGGGAGCACCUUCGUGGUGUGACUGCGUACCUUUUGUAUAAUGGGUCAGCGACUUAUAUUCUGUAGCAAGGUUAACCGUAUAGGGGAGCCGAAGGGAAACCGAGUCUUAACUGGGCGUUAAGUUGCAGGGUAUAGACCCGAAACCCGGUGAUCUAGCCAUGGGCAGGUUGAAGGUUGGGUAACACUAACUGGAGGACCGAACCGACUAAUGUUGAAAAAUUAGCGGAUGACUUGUGGCUGGGGGUGAAAGGCCAAUCAAACCGGGAGAUAGCUGGUUCUCCCCGAAAGCUAUUUAGGUAGCGCCUCGUGAACUCAUCUUCGGGGGUAGAGCACUGUUUCGGCUAGGGGGCCAUCCCGGCUUACCAACCCGAUGCAAACUACGAAUACCGAAGAAUGUUAUCACGGGAGACACACGGCGGGUGCUAACGUCCGUCGUGAAGAGGGAAACAACCCAGACCGCCAGCUAAGGUCCCAAAGUCAUGGUUAAGUGGGAAACGAUGUGGGAAGGCACAGACAGCCAGGAUGUUGGCUUAGAAGCAGCCAUCAUUUAAAGAAAGCGUAAUAGCUCACUGGUCGAGUCGGCCUGCGCGGAAGAUGUAACGGGGCUAAACCAUGCACCGAAGCUGCGGCAGCGACACUAUGUGUUGUUGGGUAGGGGAGCG
rnacentral:rRNA from 1 species